rnacentral:rRNA from 1 species
CUGGUAGUCUUAACACAUGCUAAUCGAGCGGGGAAGGGUAGCUUGCUACCUGACCUAGCGGCGGACGGGUGAGUAAUGCUUAGGAAUCUGCCUAUUAGUGGGGGACAACAUUCCGAAAGGAAUGCUAAUACCGCAUACGCCCUACGGGGGAAAGCAGGGGAUCUUCGGACCUUGCGCUAAUAGAUGAGCCUAAGUCAGAUUAGCUAGUUGGUGGGGUAAAGGCCUACCAAGGCGACGAUCUGUAGCGGGUCUGAGAGGAUGAUCCGCCACACUGGGACUGAGACACGGCCCAGACUCCUACGGGAGGCAGCAGUGGGGAAUAUUGGACAAUGGGCGAAAGCCUGAUCCAGCCAUGCCGCGUGUGUGAAGAAGGCCUUUUGGUUGUAAAGCACUUUAAGCGAGGAGGAGGCUACUUAGAUUAAUACUCUAGGAUAGUGGACGUUACUCGCAGAAUAAGCACCGGCUAACUCUGUGCCAGCAGCCGCGGUAAUACAGAGGGUGCGAGCGUUAAUCGGAUUUACUGGGCGUAAAGCGUGCGUAGGCGGCUUCUUAAGUCGGAUGUGAAAUCCCUGAGCUUAACUUAGGAAUUGCAUUCGAUACUGGGAAGCUAGAGUAUGGGAGAGGAUGGUAGAAUUCCAGGUGUAGCGGUGAAAUGCGUAGAGAUCUGGAGGAAUACCGAUGGCGAAGGCAGCCAUCUGGCCUAAUACUGACGCUGAGGUUCCU